GACGAACGCUGGCGGCGUGCUUAACACAUGCAAGUCGAACGGAAAGGCCCUGCUUUUGUGGGGUGCUCGAGUGGCGAACGGGUGAGUAACAAGUGAGUAACCUGCCCUUGACUUUGGGAUAACUUCAGGAAACUGGGGCUAAUAACGGAUAGGAGCUCCUGCUGCAUGGUGGGGGUUGGAUAGUUUCGGCGGUUGGGGAUGGACUCGCGGCUUAUCAGCUUGUUGGUGGGGUAGUGGCUUACCAAGGCUUUGACGGGUAGCCGGCCUGAGAGGGUGACCGGCCACAUUGGGACUGAGAGACGGCCCAGACUGCUACGGGAGGCAGCAGUGGGGAAUAUUGCACAAUGGGCGGAAGCCUGAUGCAGCAACGCCGCGGGCGGGAUGACGGCCUUCGGGUUGUAAACCGCUUUCGCCUGUGACGAAGCGUGAGUGACGGUAAUGUGUAAAGAAGCACCGGCUAACUACGUG
rnacentral:rRNA from 1 species